AGCAGCCGCGGUAAUUCCAGCUCCAAUAGCGUAUAUUAAAGUUGUUGCAGUUAAAAAGCUCGUAGUUGAAUUUCGGGAUCAAUAUAUCGGUCGUGCCUUGGUACGUACUGGUAUCAUUGGUUUCUCCUUUCUGACGAACCAUGAUGUCAUUAAUUUGGUGUUAUGGGAAGUUAGGACUGUUACUUUGAAAAAAUUAGAGUGUUUAAAGCAGGCUUUAGCUUGAAUACAUUAGCAUGGAAUAAUGAAAUAGGACGUUCGAACCUAUUUUUGUUGGUUUCUAGGAUCAACGUAAUGAUUAAUAGGGAUAGUUGGGGGCAUUAGUAUUCAAUUGUCAGAGGUGAAAUUCUUGGAUUAUUGGAAGACUAACUACUGCGAAAGCAUUUGCCAAGGAUGUUUUCAUUAAUCAAGAACGAAAGUUAGGGGAUCGAAGACGAUCAGAUACCGUCGUAGUCUUAACCAUAAACUAUGCCGACUAGGGAUCGGAUGAUGUUAAUUUUUUCAAUGACUCAUUCGGCGCCUU
rnacentral:rRNA from 1 species